rnacentral:tRNA from 1 species
UCCCAUAUGGUCUAGUGGGUAGGAUUCGGCGCUUUCACCGCGAAGGCCCGGGUUCAAUUCCCGGUGUGGGAA